UACCAGCUCUCCGAGUGGUAGGUAUGAUUAUUGGGCUUAAAGCGUCCGUAGCCGGCUUAGCAAGUCUCCUGUUAAACUCAGCGACCUAAUCGUUGAAUCGCGGGAGAUACUACUAGGCUAGGAGGCGGGAGAGGUCGACGGUACUUCUGGGGUAGGGGUGAAGUCCUAUAAUCCCGGGAGGACCACCAGUGGCGAAGGCUGUCGACUAGAACGCGCUCGACGGUGAGGGACGAAAGCUGGGGUAGCGAACCGGAUUAGAUACCCGGGUAGUCCCAGCUGUAAACGAUGCGGGCUAGGUGUUGGGAUGGCUACGGGCCAUUUCAGUGCCGCAGGGAAGCCAUUAAGCCCGCCGCCUGGGGAGUACGGCCGCAAGGCUGAAACUUAAAGGAAUUGGCGGGGGAGCACCACAAGGCGUGAAGCUUGCGGUUC
rnacentral:rRNA from 1 species